rnacentral:rRNA from 1 species
UACGAAGGAUGCAAGCGUUAAUCGGAAUUACUGGGCGUAAAGCGUGCGCAGGCGGUUUUGUAAGACAGGCGUGAAAUCCCCGAGCUCAACUUGGGAAUUGCGCUUGUGACUGCAAGGCUAGAGUGUGUCAGAGGGGGGUAGAAUUCCACGUGUAGCAGUGAAAUGCGUAGAGAUGUGGAGGAACACCGAUGGCGAAGGCAGCCCCCUGGGUCAAGAUUGACGCUCAUGCACGAAAGCGUGGGGAGCAAACAGG